rnacentral:rRNA from 1 species
UACGAAGGGGGCUAGCGUUGUUCGGAAUUACUGGGCGUAAAGGGCGCGCAGGCGGUUCCUCAAGUCAGGCGUGAAAGCCCCGGGCUCAACCUGGGAACUGCGCUUGAGACUGCGGGACUGGAGUUCGGGAGAGGAGAGCGGAAUUCCUGGUGUAGCGGUGAAAUGCGCAGAUAUCAGGAGGAACACCAAUGGCGAAGGCAGCUCGCUGGGACGUGACUGACGCUGAGACGCGAAAGCGUGGGGAGCAAACAGG